rnacentral:rRNA from 1 species
AUUGAACGCUGGCGGCAGGCUUAACACAUGCAAGUCGAACGAUGAUUAUCUAGCUUGCUAGAUAUGAUUAGUGGCGGACGGGUGAGUAACAUUUAGGAAUCUGCCUAGUAGUGGGGGAUAGCUCGGGGAAACUCGAAUUAAUACCGCAUACGACCUACGGGUGAAAGGGGGCGCAAGCUCUUGCUAUUAGAUGAGCCUAAAUCAGAUUAGCUAGUUGGUGGGGUAAAGGCCCACCAAGGCGACGAUCUGUAACUGGUCUGAGAGGAUGAUCAGUCACACCGGAACUGAGACACGGUCCGGACUCCUACGGGAGGCAGCAGUGGGGAAUAUUGGACAAUGGGGGCAACCCUGAUCCAGCCAUGCCGCGUGUGUGAAGAAGGCCUUUUGGUUGUAAAGCACUUUAAGCAGGGAGGAGAGGCUAAUGGUUAAUACCCAUUAGAUUAGACGUUACCUGCAGAAUAAGCACCGGCUAACUCUGUGCCAGCAGCCGCGGUAAUACAGAGGGUGCGAGCGUUAAUCGGAAUUACUGGGCGUAAAGCGAGUGUAGGUGGCUCAUUAAGUCACAUGUGAAAUCCCCGGGCUUAACCUGGGAACUGCAUGUGAUACUGGUGGUGCUAGAAUAUGUGAGAGGGAAGUAGAAUUCCAGGUGUAGCGGUGAAAUGCGUAGAGAUCUGGAGGAAUACCGAUGGCGAAGGCAGCUUCCUGGCAUAAUACUGACACUGAGAUUCGAAAGCGUGGGUAGCAAACAGGAUUAGAUACCCUGGUAGUCCACGCCGUAAACGAUGUCUACUAGCCGUUGGGGUCCUUGAGACUUUAGUGGCGCAGUUAACGCGAUAAGUAGACCGCCUGGGGAGUACGGCCGCAGGGUUAAAACUCAAAUGAAUUGACGGGGGCCCGCACAAGCGGUGGAGCAUGUGGUUUAAUUCGAUGCAACGCGAAGAACCUUACCUGGUCUUGACAUAGUGAGAAUCCUGUAGAGAUGCGGGAGUGCCUUCGGGAAUUCACAUACAGGUGCUGCAUGGCUGUCGUCAGCUCGUGUCGUGAGAUGUUGGGUUAAGUCCCGCAACGAGCGCAACCCUUUUCCUUAUUUGCCAGCGGGUUAAGCCGGGAACUUUAAGGAUACUGCCAGUGACAAACUGGAGGAAGGCGGGGACGACGUCAAGUCAUCAUGGCCCUUACGACCAGGGCUACACACGUGCUACAAUGGUAGGUACAGAGGGUUGCUACACAGCGAUGUGAUGCUAAUCUCAAAAAGCCUAUCGUAGUCCGGAUUGGAGUCUGCAACUCGACUCCAUGGAGUCGGAAUCGCUAGUAAUCGCAGAUCAGAAUGCUGCGGUGAAUACGUUCCCGGGCCU